rnacentral:rRNA from 1 species
CCUGAACGCUGGCGGCGUGGCUAAGACAUGCAAGUCGAACGGGCCUAGCAAUAGGUCAGUGGCGGACGGGUCAGUAAUGAAUCGCUAACGUGCCCCGGAGCCAGGGAUAGCCUUCCGAAAGGAAGGGUAAUACCUGAUGAGACCACGAACAGGCAUCUGUUUGUGCUCAAAGCAGCGCAGCAAUGUGUUGCACUCUGGGAGCGGCGAUUUUGAUCAGCUUGUUGGUGAGGUAACGGCUCACCAAGGCGACGACGCAUAGCCGGACUGAGAGGUUGGCCGGCGACAUUGGGACUGAGACACUGCCCAGAC